CGCUCACUAGCUGCUGCUCCUCCUUCAUCGUUUGAUGAGGGCUUCGGCGAGAGCCACCCCUCGCAGAUCUGGGCGACGGCUGCUUGAGGCUCGAGUGCGACAGCUCGCUCGAGCCAGCGCUUGCCCACAUCUGCGAGACGCUCGCUCGAGCGAGCCCUCGUGCUUGAGCCCUGAGCGAGCGUUGCUCGGACAGAUCUGCGGCAGAUCUGGGUGAUGGCUGCUCGCUCGAUUUGCUCUUCUCGCUCGGCAGAGCAGUGACGCUUGCUUGAGCUGCUCUACAGCUUUCAAAAUAUAGAUGAGGACAUGGAUUAUUCUUCCAUUGCUACACAUCAAACUUUUUUCAAUUCCAUGUUCAAUUUUCUUUCUCUUUCUUUCUUUGUGUGGGAAAGAUGGAUUUUUUGCUGUUCGUUGCUCAUAUUUUCUACCACGUUGGCCUUUUUGCGAGUAUCAAGAAUUUCUAACCCCCUAAUUACCUAGCAAAAGAAAAAAGGUUGUUCUUCUAAUUUCUUCUGUAGCUUCCUAUUAUUAGUCUUAAAGAUGGACGAGGAAAGGUCAUCGUUCUCUUAUGCGAUACUUGUGAAAUUGAAGUAGGCAAAAUUUUGGAGAGCUGUGAGGAUUGAUGUUUAGUAUUAAAUGACAUAGCUUGUGGAUACUAUCUUAGUGUGAGUUACGGACUCAGCUCUUUCCUCCACUCGCAGUGCAAGAUUCUCAUUUCUUUUUUGCAUUGAAUAUUUUUUCCUUGUCAUGGAAGAAAUUUUCUUUGUUAUGAUUAUGUGACAUUUUGUCUGGGGAAACUAUUUUCUAGUGUGGCUAGACGGGACCAUGAGGGGCGUCGUCUUUUUCCACAUAGUUUGACCUUUUCGUCCUGAUUCAAUAGGGAGGCUUUUGUUGAUUGAUCUUGGAACCUGUCAAGAGUGACAGUGUUUUCACUCUACCCAGUAGAUGAAUGGCUCACCGUGAGUUGCUUCUUUUUUACGAGCCUCUAAUUUUUCCUUUUGGAGAAUCAUUUAUAGUUUUUAUCUUUAGUUGGCUAUAGAUGGCUUUUUAUGUACUUUCAAAUCUACUGGCAAUUAAGAGGAAGGUUAUGAUGUGUGCCUUAUAUGGGGGAACAUGCAUUGGAUUAUGAUGUGAUAGACAAAUUGUUGUAAUCAUGGAUGAAAUUGCAUUGCCUUUCUCCAUGUCUAUUUGUACCAAUGUUCUAAGAGCUUGGAGUUAGUUUUGCUACAUAGUGAAGAGUCGGGUUCACCACUUCGUCUUCUGUUUGUCUCCCCCUUGAUAUAUCGAAAGCAUGUAGAAUUUCUGCUGGUGCAUAUAGGAAAGAGGACAUAGAGUUUUCUAUCUGCUAUAACCUUGGCUGCUUAGUGCUUGGAUGUUCUACAAAUUACACAUCUGAAAAGAGCAUCUAAUGGUAGGUGGUAUCUGAUGAUUGGCACGUAAUCUGUUGGAGCAUGUGCAUUUGCAUGUCGAGGGAAGCAAGAUUGAUCUAUUCAGUAUGAACUGGUUAUGGGGGAUGCCGCCAGUUCUGGAUUCUUGUGCAAGUUGAUGAGUGUUGUCUGAUGCAGCAUAGAUUUAGUUCAUUUAUUGGUCUUGUGAAGUGGAUUGAUCUGUAAAGGAGCACAUUAGAUGAAAUCAAUACUUGACAGUGGAGCUGAAAGUGUUAAGGGCUAACAGUGCACGUCUGUCAGUCAUAUCUUAUGCUAUAAGAAGUUGGAAAAAGGGUAAAGAUGGCUAUGUAUGAUGUUGAAGAAUUACAAGUUACUAGAAUGAUUUGUAGAUAAUUAGAUAAGGCUAAAAUUCAGUAGGUAGUGCAGAACCUUACGUAUAGUUUUGAUGAUACAUCAAAACCAUGCCAAAGUGGCGAGUCAAUUGUCUUUUGGUGCUUGCCAUGCACAAAUACUGAAACAGCCCAUGCCUGCAUAGGGAGUUCACUCAUUCCAGUCAUGCUUAUGGAUUAUGGCAUCUUCUUUCUCAUAUCAAUUUUAUGUUCAUUAUUACGGCCUUUAAAUCCUUUUUUUUUUUCGGGGGUGAGUCUAGGUAGAUUGAGGUGUUACUCUGAGUGAGGCUCUUCUUAGUCAUGACAAAUGGCUUGAAAAGAAGGGCAUAAAGAACACAAAUUUUGCUGUUGUUACCUGGUCCAACUGGGAUUGUUGGGUGAUGUUGGAAUCUGAGUGUUGUUAUAAGAAAAUUCGAAAGCCUUCUUACUUCAACAGAUGGAUUAACCUAAAAGUCCCAUUCUAGGAAGUUUUCGGAGGUCUAAGAUGUAAUCUUAAGGAGGCGGUUGAGAUGGCUGGCUUGACCUGGCUCGGGCAUGCUCAUUGUGGUUUAGAUGAUGCAAAAAACACAGCUCGCUUGCUUAUGGUUCUUUUGUGUAGGGGAAUCAGAUUUUCCAUCACCAACUCUCUGACAUUGUAUGACAAUGACCAUACUCUGAUAUCAAAGCACUUGCCUCCCCAUCAGCCGCACA